UGGGUUGUAGCUCAGUGGUAGAGCACUUGCCUAGCAUGGAUGAGGCACUGGGUUUGUUUCCCAGCACCAA
rnacentral:tRNA from 1 species